GUUGAUUUUGCAGGGUGGAGUAUGGCCGAUAGUUUUUAAGUGAUUUAAUGUUGUCAUGGAAAAGAUCCUGCUGUCUUCUAUUAGUGGUUUAACAGCAAGCAGGCUGCAAGCACUGAAGAAUUUUGCAAAAGGUGUGUCCUCAGAAAGAAAAAAGCAGACAGAAGCUCUCACCUUUCAUCUAAGACAGGCACUGUGACCUGAUGGAACCAAUGAGGCAAGUGAAAUAAACUCUGAAGGCAACACCACAUCAUUUCAAGAAAAAAUGAAAGCUAUAAGAGAAAGCUGGAAGAAUUCAGAAGGUCAAGCAGCAUUUGUGGAGACAAAGAUGUAUGUCUAUGUUUUUGGUCAAGAUUCUGCAUCAGGACUGAAGUGAAAAUUUCAAGUUCAGUUGUUAUUCAACCGUUCAUAAAUACCCACGAAUACAGUCAGAUGAAACAGCAUUGCUUCAGAUAAUGGUGCAAAACACAGUAACAACAGUCAUUCACAUCACAAGGCAUAUAUAGCGCAUACACGACCAUUGGAUUGUAAGCUAACUGAAAGGAAUGAGAAAAGAUUGCCAGUAUUUUGCAGUAUGAGGGAGGAGUGGGACAGAAGCUGGUAGAUGCAAAUAGAUGAGAGGGAAGAUGCUGGGCACAUGAAACCAGAUGGAAAUGGUAGGCGAUGGAAAGGCCAAAAUAUGGGACAAGAAACAUAGGUAGAGAUGCAAGUGUGUGAGGGAAAAGAACACCAGGAGUGCAGAUUAUCGGAAAAUAAAAAAAGAUAAUGUGGAUACCGUUGGAAUGUAAGCU